GCAUGUGAAGAGGCUUUUAACUUUUAUUAACUACGGUUGUAAGCUGUGAAAAGCACAAAUUUGAAAACAAUGAAUAAAUAAUGGAGAAAUGUGCUUCAAUUAUGGUUUAUAAAUGUAUCAGUCAAGUGAUUUAGUGUUAAAGUGACCACCACCACCCACCCACCCACCCACCACCAUGUAGUGGGGGUGGCUAGGGUUCGGUCGAGCAGUCUGCCCUGAUACUCUGUGAAGUGAAGAUCUGCGUGUCCUGCUACUCUCAUCCUGCCGGUACGUUUGCUAUUGUCUCAUUGGUGUGGUGACUGUGACCUGCCCUGACCUGCCUGUGACCUGCCCUGACCUGCCUGUGAACUGCUUUUGACCUGCCUUGACUUGCUCUGACACACAUGGUGAACCGAGACCUUCCGAGACCUUCCAAGACCUUCCAAAAUCUGCCGUGACCCACAGAUGAAGAUGUAUAGAUUUAAGAAGUGCGAUGAUGCAACACAGACAGACAGACAGGUGUGGGAUAAGUGCUGGCAUACUGAAGGUCAAGAGGUCAAGAGUCAUGUGUUGAGUUGUAUGGGUCACCAGACAGGUCACCCACCUAACCCCACUCGGCCUGUCAGUUCAGCGGCAACACUGUCAUGGAAGAAUUUGCCGCAAGCUGUGCCUCUCUGUGCUUGUUAUCCGAACCUUGUGUCUAAUAUUGCCUUAAUGUUGUGUGUGUGUGUGUGUGUGUGUGAGAGAGAGAGAGAGAGAGAGAGAGAGAGAGAGAGAGAGAGAGAGAGAGAGAGAGAGAGAGAGAGAGAGAGAGAGAGAGAGAGAGAGAGAGAGAGAGAGAGAGAGAGAGAGAGAGAGAGAGAGAUUUUGUUACUCGUCAUGUCCCCUGUACCAACUGAAGACCUCCACCAGACCCCCUCUUAGUCACCCUUGUUGUGUCCCCUGUACCACUUGAAGACCUCCACCAGACCCCCUCUUAGUCACCCUUGUUGUGUCCCCUGUACCACUUGAAGACCUCCACCAGACCCCCUCUUAGUCACCCUUGUUGUGUCCCCUGUACCACUUGAAGACCUCCACCAGACCCCCUCUUAGUCACCCUUGUUGUGUCCCCUGUACCACUUGAAGGUCUCCACCAGACCCCCUCUUAGUCACCCUUCUCUGAGGUACAACAGUGUCUAGUCAUCCUUCCUAUGUCAUCCUUGUGUAAUCAGGAAUAAUUAUCAGCAUUUGUUCUCCUCCUCUUCCUCCUCCUUCUGUCUGUCUGUCUGUCUGUCUGUCUGUCUGUCUGUCUGUCUGUCUGUCUGCCUACCAGUUAAAAUGAUCAAUGUAGUCAGUUAUACUUGUGGAUACUGUGUGUGUGUGUGUGUGUGUGUGUGUGUGUGCGUGCGUGUAUAUGAAUUAAUGUUUAUUGUGAAGUAUCUGCCUGCCUGCUUGCAAAUUAAUCAUCAAUAUAGUUACUGUUUGUGUGUGUUUGUGUGUUAUAAAGCAAUCUUGUGUAUAUUAUUGAUUGUAUUCCACAUGUAUGGGCUGGCCAGACGUGAUGUACUGUGACAGCCAGAACCUUGACAUAUACUGCUUGAUAAAAUGAAAAUAAGCAAAAAAACAUGAAUAAAGUACAAAUUUUGAGCCGAACUAAUGAGGACUUUCUCUCGUCUUUUUCAGAGGUGCGUACAUCUGCGAGUCACUCCAACCAACCUCUUAUAUCCUACCUUAUUCUGAUAUAUUAGGUUAGAUUCAGUUAGGUUACUUAUAUUGGGGGCCUGUCUUCCUUACUAACCUAACCUAACCUAACCCAUUCCUUCCUUCUCGUCAAGCUGUUGGUGGGAGAAGCCCCAGGACUCUCAAGCGUGGGUUGAGUCACAACUGCGGGUGUGCUAGCUCACCUUGAAGUCAGACGGGGCUCACGUGUUGCAGUGUUGCAGUGUUGCAGUGUUGCAGAUCUUCACCCAAACAAGGGGAGUAUUGUUUUUUUGUGUUUUGUAUAUAUAUAUAUAUUUUUGUGGGGGGAGGGGGUCUGGGGAUAGCUAUCUGCGGUGUGCGUCUGUGCGUGCGUCUGUGUGUGCGUCUGUGUGUGCGUCUGUGCACGUGCGUCUGUGUGCGUGCAUCUGUGUGUAUGUCUUUUUUUUGGUUGUGUGUGUGUGAAUUUUUUUUUGGUAUAAAUAUAUAGGUGGCAGGCCAUAGUGUUAGGAUAUUUGACAGAUUAAUAUAGAAGAUAGUUUAAGUUAGUUAUUAAUAUAGAAGAUGGUUUAAGUUAGUUAAGGGUUAAGUGAGGCAUAGAGAGAGAGAGAGAGAGGGAAGACAGAUAUUAAUAGGAUUAGCUUAUAUUUUUUUUAGGGUUUUAAGUAAGUAUCUAGGUGGCAGGUCAGAAUGAUAUAAUAUUUGACACAGAUUAAUAUAGAAGAUGGUUUUAAGUUAGUAUAUAUCAAAGGGUUAAGUGAGGCAUAGAGAGAGAGAGAGAAAGGGUUAAUAGUAUUAGGAUGACAGGAGUAUAUAUCAAAGGGUUAAGUGAGGCAUAGAGAGAGAGAGAGAGAGAUAGGGUUAUUAAUAGGAUGACAGGAGUAUAUAUCAAAGGGUUAAGUGAGGCAUAGAAAGGGUUAUUAAUAGGAUUAGGAUGACAGGUGUGUAUGAAUGUUUAACUCAGAUUAUAUUGAAAGUUUAUUUCUUUAUAAUCUGAGUUUGUAUGGCAUGUUGAGUAUUAGUAUGUUAUUUUUGUAGUGGU